rnacentral:tRNA from 1 species
GGGGCAUGGCUCAGUUGGUUAGAGCGCUCGCUUCACAUGCGAGAGGUCGAUGGUUCGAGUCCAUCUGUCCC